rnacentral:rRNA from 1 species
UACGGGGGGGGCAAGCGUUGUUCGGAAUUACUGGGCGUAAAGGGCUCGUAGGCGGCCAACUAAGUCAGACGUGAAAUCCCUAGGCUCAACCUAGGAACUGCGUCUGAUACUGGAUGGCUUGAAUCCGGGAGAGGGAUGCAGAAUUCCAGGUGUAGCGGUGAAAUGCGUAGAUAUCUGGAGGAACACCGGUGGCGAAGGCGACGUCCUGGACCGGCAUUGACGCUGAGGCGCGAAAGCCAGGGGAGCAAACGGGG